rnacentral:ncRNA from 1 species
UGUCAAAAGUUUUAUUUUAGCUAAUAGAUUUAGUUUUUGGUGGGCUUACAUACGUGGUUUAGGCUAAAGGCUUUGCUUGUAGUAAUUAAAUUUAAUGAUUAAGGGACCUUAGAGUUAGAUAUUUAAAAAUGUACAGACUAAUCUUGUGCCAGCAGUUGCGGUUAAACAUGAUGUACUUCUGAAUUUAGUUCGGGCGAUAGUUGCCUUUGUUGUAGAGGAGAGGGUUGAUUGUAUAAGGUGAAAUUUUGCGAUCAAUUAAAUUUAAUUUUUAGGGGAAUACUAUUAGAUUUGGAAACAGACUAGGAUUAGAUACCCUAUUAUUAAGAACGUGAAUAUAUACCUCCUGAUAAGUAUUAGUAUAUUCUUGAAAUUUAAAAGAUUUGGCGGUGUUUUAGUCUAUUCAGAGGAACCUGUCCUGUAAUCGAUAAUCCACGAUUUAUAGUACUUUCUUUUUUGUUUGUAUAUCGUCGUUAUUUGAAUAUCUUAGAAGGGUUUAAUGUUCAGAAUUUUAAAUUUGAAUUUAAGUCAGAUCAAGAUGCAGUUCAUGGGAAAGGAGAGAUGGGUUACAAUGAAGAUAUUUAUAUGGUUUAAAAGAAGAGUUUCUUUUAAUAAAUUGGAUUUGAUAGUAAGGUGGAUAAAUUAAUUUAUUUGAUUUAAGCUCUAGAAUAUGCACAUAUCGCCCGUCGCUCCCAUCAUAAGGUGGGAUAAGUCGUAACAAAGUAGGUGUACCGGAAGGUGUACCUAGAAAGA